rnacentral:rRNA from 1 species
UCUGGUGUCCUAGGCGUAGAGGAACCACACCAAUCCAUCCCGAAUUUGGUGGUUAAACUCUACUGCGGUGACGAUACUGUAGGGGAGGUCCUGCGGCAAAAUAGCUCGAUGCCCGAA